CUGGUUGUUGUAUUAGAUGCAUGUUGGUUGGUUGGUUGGAUGAAUGUUUGACUCAUUGGUUACGUUUACAUUCGGCAGACGCCCUUAUCCAGAGCGACUUACAUUUAUCUCAUUUAUACAACUGAGCAUUUGACGGUUAAGGGCCUUGCUCAAGGGUGCAGCGGUGGAAGCUUGGCAGUGCUGCAGAUCUACCGAUUGGUCGACUCACCUACUGACUGAAGAACAGCCACCAGACUGCCUGCUGCCACUCCUCCUCCAUUAGCGAUAGCAGCUGAUGACAUCAUACCGGCAGCGAAGGACCCUGCUGUAAUGCCACCCGCGGUGAAGCCCACCAACCCUAGGG